AUUGAACGCUGGCGGCAUGCCUUACACAUGCAAGUCGAACGGUAACGCGGGGCAACCUGGCGACGAGUGGCGAACGGGUGAGUAAUGCAUCGGAACGUGCCCGGUAGUGGGGGAUAACUGCUCGAAAGAGCAGCUAAUACCGCAUACGACCUGAGGGCGAAAGGGGGGGAUCGCAAGACCUCUCGCUAUCGGAGCGGCCGAUGUCGGAUUAGCUAGUUGGUGGGGUAAAAGCCCACCAAGGCGACGAUCCGUAGCUGGUCUGAGAGGACGACCAGCCACACUGGGACUGAGACACGGCCCAGACUCCUACGGGAGGCAGCAGUGGGGAAUUUUGGACAAUGGACGCAAGUCUGAUCCAGCCAUGCCGCGUGCGGGAAGAAGGCCUUCGGGUUGUAAACCGCUUUUGUCAGGGAAGAAAUCUUCUGAGUUAAUACCUCGGGAGGAUGACGGUACCUGAAGAAUAAGCACCGGCUAACUACGUGCCAGCAGCCGCCGUAACAC
rnacentral:rRNA from 1 species